rnacentral:rRNA from 1 species
UAGGGAAUCUUCGGCAAUGGGGGGAACCCUGACCGAGCAACGCCGCGUGAGUGAAGAAGGUUUUCGUAUCGUAAAGCUCUGUUUUUAAGGAAGAACGAGUGUGAGAAUGGAACGUUCAUACUGUGACGGUAAUUAACCAGAAAGGGACGGCUAACUACGUGCCAGCAGCCGCGGUAAUACGUAGGUCCCGAGCGUUGUCAGGAUUUAUUGGGCGUAAAGCGAGCGCAGGCGGUUAGAUAAGUCUGAAGUUAAAGGCAGUGGCUCAACCAUUGUAGGCUUUGGAACCUGGUUAACUGGAGUGCAGAAGGGGAGAGUGGAAUUCCAUGUGUAGCGAUGAGCUGCGUAAUUAUAUGGAGGAACACUAGUGACGAAGGCGGCUCUCUAGUCUGUAACUGACGCUGAGGCUCGAAAGCGUGGGGAGCGGGCAGG